rnacentral:rRNA from 1 species
UACGAAGGGGGGCUAACGUGUCUCGGAAUCACUGGGCGUAAAGGGUGCGUAGGCGGGUCUUUAAGUCAGGGGUGAAAUCCCGGAGCUCAACUUCGGAACUGCCCUUGAUACAGCACGUCUUGAGUCCGAUAGAGGUGGGUGGAAUUCCUAGUGUAGAGGUGAAAUUCGUAGAUAUUCGGAAGAACACCAGUGGCGAAGGCGGCUCUCUAGUACGGUACUGACGCUGAGACGCGAAAGCGUGGGGAGCGAACAGG